rnacentral:rRNA from 1 species
AACGAACGCUGGCGGCAUGCCUAACACAUGCCAGUCGAACGAUUGCCUUCGGGUGAUAGUGGCGCACGGGUGCGUAACGCGUGGGAAUCUGCCCUUAGGUUCGGAAUAACAGCUGGAAACGGCUGCUAAUACCGGAUGAUAUCGCGAGAUCAAAGAUUUAUCGCCUGAGGAUGAGCCCGCGUUGGAUUAGGUAGUUGGUGGGGUAAAGGCCUACCAAGCCGACGAUCCAUAGCUGGUCUGAGAGGAUGAUCAGCCACACUGGGACUGAGACACGGCCCAGACUCCUACGGGAGGCAGCAGUGGGGAAUAUUGGACAAUGGGCGCAAGCUUGAUCCAGCAAUGCCGCGUGAGUGAUGAAGGCCCUAGGGUUGUAAAGCUCUUUUACCCGGGAAGAUAAUGACUGUACCGGGAGAAUAAGCCCCGGCUAACUCCGUG